GCGAUUUAUUUUGGUUGCUUAUGAAUCCUUGCUAAUUAUUAUAAUUAUGAAAAAUAUUUUGGGGUUUAAGUAGGUAGUUAGGGAAAUAAAAAUUAUUAGCGAUAGAUAAUAGUACUGUAUAGGAAAGUUGAAAUAUAUUGGUGAAAUGAAUGGAAAGUAUUAGUCAGAUUAAGUACCUUGUGUAUUAGGGAUAUUUUACAUUAAAUAUUUAUGGUAUUUUUCCCGAAAUAAGGAUAGCUAAAUUAAGGCUUGAGUUUUUGUUGUAAAAAAAUUCAAAACUUUGUUUUAGUAGUGAAAUGUUAAUCGAGUCUUGAGAUAUCUGGUUUUUUUUGAAAAAAAUUCAAUUUUUACUUUGUAGUAAGGUAGUGCAGGGUUUAGGAAUAGAGGGGGUAAGCUCUUUAUUUAAUUAUUUUAGUUAUAAAAAUAAAUAAGAGGGGUGUUAGACUAGGCUUAGAGGCAGCCAUGUUUACAGGGGGUUAUAUCUGAGGUAUAAGAAAAAGAAUAUUUAUUAUUUUUUAAGUAGGUAGGAAAGACUGUUUAUAAAUUUAGUUUAGAAAUUUAGAAUGAAUAUAUUAGUAUAUGAAUUGUUUAUUUAUAUAAAUUUUGGAAAAUUUAAUGGAAUUUAUUAAAAGAGUGGCGGGUAUAAAGGAAUUCGGCAAAGGGUGCUUUCGCCUGUUUAUCAAAAACAUGUCUGUAUGAGAGUUAUAUAGAGUCUGGCCUGCCCAUUGGUGACUAAAAGGCCGCGGUAUUAUGACCGUGCGAAGGUAGCAUAAUCAUUAGUCUUUUAAUUGAAGGCUGGAAUGAAUGGUCGGACGAGAAGUAAGCUGUCUUUAUCUCGUGGAUUGAAUUUAAUUUUUAAGUGAAAAGGCUUAAAUGAAUUAGAGGGACGAUAAGACCCUAUAAAGUUUAUACAUGGGGCUGGUUGAGAGUGAUUCAGAAUAGUAAAGUUUAUUAUUAGCAAGAUGUUUAGUUGGGGCGACUAAGAUAUAAAUUAUAUAACUGUCUUUUGUUUAAAUCAGAGGUAUCUGUUCGUAUGAUCCUUUUUUAGGAUUGGAGAGUAAAUUACUUUAGGGAUAACAGCGUAAUUUUUUUUGAGAGUUCUUAUCGACAAAAGAGUUUGCGACCUCGAUGUUGAAUUAAAAAUUUCUUUGUGGUGUAGCAGUUACGUAAGAAGGUCUGUUCGACCUUUAAAUUUUUACAUGAUUUGAGUUCAGACCGGCGUGAGCCAGGUUGGUUUCUAUCUUCUAAGGAGUUUUAAGUUAUUUUAGUACGAAAGGAUUAAAUGAUUGAAAUAGUUUUAAUAAAGUCAGAAAAAAAGUAAACACUUUUUCUUUAAUUUCCAAAAUUAAUAUUUUAAAUAAACUAU
rnacentral:rRNA from 1 species